AUCGCUUCUUCGGCUUAUUAGCUAAGAUCAAAGUGUAGUAUCUGUUCUCACUACUGCCGGGCUCGGCCCAGUCCCCAAGGGGACAAAAUAAACAACAGUAUGUCUUCUAUGAGGAUUCUGCUCUAAGUGUUCCGUAUAGGACAACGGAU
ensembl:snRNA W07G1.24 ncRNA